rnacentral:lncRNA from 1 species
AAACCUAUACUAUUUAACCUUUACUUCUGAUAUAAAUCAGCUAAUUAAGCGAAAGUAAUGAAAUGUAACGCGUACUAACUUCCGAUGUCACGUUGUCGGCCGCCAACGUGGCCCUCUGCAAAGUUAGUAAUUGCACAUUCCGAUCAAACUCCUACUAUUCGGAGUUUAUAAAUUACCCAAUCAAAAUACUUUCGCUAACAACAAACUCAACUAGACCUCGUCUCUCACGUGCCUAUUCUUAUAGUCCAACCAGCCUAAGGUUUGCUAGGUCUACUAAGACCCAACCCCAGGCUCUGAUACCACUAUAAUCUGUCACGCCCGGAUACCAGCGGAAGCAUAUCCGGUACGUGCACAGACCCGCCAUACACCUGCAGUAUAUAAGGCGCCUACAA